GUGACCACAAGUUCAACGGCCGCGGUAUUUUGACCGUGCAAAGGUAGCGCAAUCACUUGUCUUUUAAAUAGAGACCCGUAUGAAUGGCUAAACGAGGGCUUAACUGUCUCCCUUUUCAAGUCAGUGAAAUUGAUCUACCCGUGCAGAAGCGGGUAUAACAAUACAAGACGAGAAGACCCUUUGGAGCUUAAGGUACAAAACUCAACCACGUCAAGCAACUUAAUAAAAAGCAAAAACUUUGUGAAACAUGAGAUUUUACCUUCGGUUGGGGCGACCGCGGAGGAAAACAAAGCCUCCAAGUGGACCGGGAUAACUCCUAAAACUAAGAGAAACAUCUCUAAGCCACAGAACAUCUGACCAAACAUGAUCCGGCCACCAGGACCGAUCAACGAACCAAGUUACCCUAGGGAUAACAGCGCAAUCCCCUCCCAGAGUCCAUAUCGACGAGGGGGCUUACGACCUCGAUGUUGGAUCAGGACAUCCUAAUGGUGCAGCCGCUAUUAAGGGUUCGUUUGUUCAACGAUUAAAGUCCUACGUGAUCUGAGU
rnacentral:rRNA from 4 species